AUUGAACGCUGGCGGCAGGCCUAACACAUGCAAGUCGAGCGGUUGAGGUAGCUUGCUACCGAUACAGCGGCGGACGGGUGAGUAAUACAUGGGAAUCUGCCUGGUAGUGGGGGACAACGUUUCGAAAGGAACGCUAAUACCGCAUACGCCCUACGGGGGAAAGGGGGGGAUCUUCGGACCUCUCGCUAUCAGAUGAGCCCAUGUCAGAUUAGCUUGUUGGUGAGGUAAAGGCUCACCAAGGCGACGAUCUGUAACUGGUCUGAGAGGAUGAUCAGUCACACUGGAACUGAGACACGGUCCAGACUCCUACGGGAGGCAGCAGUGGGGAAUAUUGGACAAUGGGCGCAAGCCUGAUCCAGCCAUGCCGCGUGUGUGAAGAAGGCCUUAGGGUUGUAAAGCACUUUCAGUGGGGAGAAAGGCCUUUUACUUAAUACGUAAGAGGAUUGAUGUUACCCACAGAAGAAGCACCGGCUAACUCCGUGCCAGCAGCCGCCGUAA
rnacentral:rRNA from 1 species